rnacentral:rRNA from 1 species
GAUGAACGCUGGCGGCGUGCCUAAUACAUGCAAGUCGAGCGAACAGACGAGGAGCUUGCUCCUCUGACGUUAGCGGCGGACGGGUGAGUAACACGUGGAUAACCUACCUAUAAGACUGGGAUAACUUCGGGAAACCGGAGCUAAUACCGGAUAAUAUAUUGAACCGCAUGGUUCAAUAGUGAAAGACGGUUUUGCUGUCACUUAUAGAUGGAUCCGCGCCGCAUUAGCUAGUUGGUAAGGUAACGGCUUACCAAGGCGACGAUGCGUAGCCGACCUGAGAGGGUGAUCGGCCACACUGGAACUGAGACACGGUCCAGACUCCUACGGGAGGCAGCAGUAGGGAAUCUUCCGCAAUGGGUGAAAGCCUGACGGAGCAACGCCGCGUGAGUGAUGAAGGUCUUCGGGUCGUAAAACUCUGUUAUUAGGGAAGAACAAAUGUGUAAGUAACUAUGCACGUCUUGACGGUACCUAAUCAGAAAGCCACGGCUAACUACGUG